AGGCCGCUCCCUGCGCGCGGUUGGUGCGGCUCCGCCGGCCCAGAGUGACGUCAGCGACGCGGCUCCGCUCCACCACAAUCAAAGUUGUCGCUAACACGCCGGGAAAAGGGAAGAGCCGGUCCUCUCGCUCCGGCCCCGGGAGACCGCGACCCGCAGGCGUGAGGCGGCGUGAGCCGCGGCUUCAGGGUUGUCUACAUACCCCGCUGCGCGCCGUCGUUUUGUGCCUGCGGGAAAAGUUCGCGCCGUGCGCGCCUCCCGCCCGCGGCAACGGGGCAUGGCCGCAGCGGUCGCGUUCCCGGGACGGAUCUCGGCCGGGAGGAACGGCCGCAGCCUGCGGUCGCCGCUUCACUGCAGAUGUGUGUACGGGAACUGUUGAGUCAUAGCCUGAACCACUGAUAGAGCACCUGGGGAAGGACCCGAUCAGCCCUGGGAGCACAGUUGAAGGCAAUGCAGCUGUGUGACCAGAAGGGGUGGAGCCUGGCUGUGCCUCUCUUAGUCCCCAUUUCAGGGCUGGCUGCCACUGGGGAAGGAUAUUUUCCUGGAGAUCUCUUCUUGGGGAAGCUUUCCCUUGUAAACCUGGAAUCUUUUGAUAUGGGUAAGUAAUUUUCUUCACAGCAUCUUUCUUUUGUGCCUUUCGUGUUCAUCUGUCUAAUUGCUACUAGUAAAGAAAGCAAGGUCUUUUCUUUUGCUUUCAUGGGUGUUUAAUUAUUUGUAUCCUUUUUCUGUAUAACAGCUUCCAGUUACAGAACCCAUAUUCCUCACUGUCUAGGUGAUGUUGUAAUGUAACAAAAAAUACAAAGCAGUUUCCGCAUGAAGGUGCUGAACUUGAUUUUUUUUUUUCGCUUUCUAGAUAAGAACUCAGUUGACUACAGAAAGCUGCAGUGAUUGUACUUAAUACCUAACUCUUUUU
ensembl:lncRNA